AUACGGAGGAUGCAAGCGUUAUCCGGAUUUAUUAGGUUUAAAGGGUGCGUAGGUGGGCGUUUAAGUCAGUGGUUAAAGCCAAUAGCUUAACUAUUGUAUGCCAUUGAAACUGGAUGUCUUGAAUAGGGUAGAGGUAGGCGGAAUGUGUUGUGUAGCGGUGAAAUGCUUAGAUAUAACACAGAACACCGAUUGCGAAGGCAGCUUACUAUGCCUUUAUUGACACUGAUGCACGAAAGCGUGGGGAUCAAACAGGAUUAGAUACCCUGGUAGUCCACGCUGUAAACGAUGAUCACUCGUUUUUGGCAAUACAUCGUCAGAGACUAAGCGAAAGCAUUAAGUGAUCCACCUGGGGAGUACGUUCGCAAGAAUGAA
rnacentral:rRNA from 1 species